GGGUUGUGAGGUUAAGCGACUAAGCGUACACGGUGGAUGCCCUGGCAGUCAGAGGCGAUGAAGGGCGUGCUAAUCUGCGAUAAGCGCCGGUAAGGUGAUAUGAACCGUUAUAACCGGCGAUACCCGAAUGGGGAAACCCAGUGUGACUCGUCACACUAUCAUUAACUGAAUCCAUAGGUUAAUGAGGCGAACCGGGGGAACUGAAACAUCUAAGUACCCCGAGGAAAAGAAAUCAACCGAGAUUCCCCCAGUAGCGGCGAGCGAACGGGGAGGAGCCCAGAGCCUGAAUCAGCAUGUGUGUUAGUGGAAGCGUCUGGAAAGGCGCGCGAUACAGGGUGACAGCCCCGUACACAAAAGCGCAUGUGCUGUGAGCUCGAUGAGUAGGGCGGGACACGUGGUAUCCUGUCUGAAUAUGGGGGGACCAUCCUCCAAGGCUAAAUACUCCUGACUGACCGAUAGUGAACCAGUACCGUGAGGGAAAGGCGAAAAGAACCCCGGCGAGGGGAGUGAAAAAGAACCUGAAACCGUGUACGUACAAGCAGUGGGAGCACAGGUUUACCUGUGUGACUGCGUACCUUUUGUAUAAUGGGUCAGCGACUUAUAUUCUGUAGCAAGGUUAACCGUAUAGGGGAGCCGGAGGGAAACCGAGUCUUAACCGGGCGUUAAGUUGCAGGGUAUAGACCCGAAACCCGGUGAUCUAGCCAUGGGCAGGUUGAAGGUUGGGUAACACUAACUGGAGGACCGAACCGACUAAUGUUGAAAAAUUAGCGGAUGACCUGUGGCUGGGGGUGAACGGCCAAUCAAACCGGGAGAUAGCUGGUUCUCCCCGAAAGCUAUUUAGGUAGCGCCUCGUGAAUUCAUCUCCGGGGGUAGAGCACUGUUUCGGCUAGGGGGCCAUCCCGGCUUACCAACCCGAUGCAAACUGCGAAUACCGGAGAAUGUUAUCACGGGAGACACACGGCGGGUGCUAACGUCCGUCGUGAAGAGGGAAACAACCCAGACCGCCAGCUAAGGUCCCAAAGUCAUGGUUAAGUGGGAAACGAUGUGGGAAGGCCCAGACAGCCAGGAUGUUGGCUUAGAAGCAGCCAUCAUUUAAAGAAAGCGUAAUAGCUCACUGGUCGAGUCGGCCUGCGCGGAAGAUGUAACGGGGCUAAACCAUGCACCGAAGCUGCGGCAGCGACACUCAGGUGUUGUUGGGUAGGGGAGCGUUCUGUAAGCCUGUGAAGGUGGCCUGUGAGGGUUGCUGGAGGUAUCAGAAGUGCGAAUGCUGACAUAAGUAACGAUAAAGCGGGUGAAAAGCCCGCUCGCCGGAAGACCAAGGGUUCCUGUCCAACGUUAAUCGGGGCAGGGUGAGUCGACCCCUAAGGCGAGGCCGAAAGGCGUAGUCGAUGGGAAACGGGUUAAUAUUCCCGUACUUGGUGUUACUGCGAAGGGGGGACGGAGAAGGCUAUGUUGGCCGGGCGACGGUUGUCCCGGUUUAAGCGUGUAGGUGUGUGUUCCAGGUAAAUCCGGUUCACUUUAACACUGAGGCGUGAUGACGAGGCACUACGGUGCUGAAGCAACAAAUGCCCUGCUUCCAGGAAAAGCCUCUAAGCAUCAGGUAACAUCAAAUCGUACCCCAAACCGACACAGGUGGUCAGGUAGAGAAUACCAAGGCGCUUGAGAGAACUCGGGUGAAGGAACUAGGCAAAAUGGUGCCGUAACUUCGGGAGAAGGCACGCUGACACGUAGGUGAAGUGAUUUACUCAUGGAGCUGAAGUCAGUCGAAGAUACCAGCUGGCUGCAACUGUUUAUUAAAAACACAGCACUGUGCAAACACGAAAGUGGACGUAUACGGUGUGACGCCUGCCCGGUGCCGGAAGGUUAAUUGAUGGGGUCAGCGCAAGCGAAGCUCCUGAUCGAAGCCCCGGUAAACGGCGGCCGUAACUAUAACGGUCCUAAGGUAGCGAAAUUCCUUGUCGGGUAAGUUCCGACCUGCACGAAUGGCGUAAUGAUGGCCAGGCUGUCUCCACCCGAGACUCAGUGAAAUUGAACUCGCUGUGAAGAUGCAGUGUACCCGCGGCAAGACGGAAAGACCCCGUGAACCUUUACUAUAGCUUGACACUGAACAUUGAGCCUUGAUGUGUAGGAUAGGUGGGAGGCUUUGAAGCGUGGACGCCAGUCUGCGUGGAGCCGACCUUGAAAUACCACCCUUUAAUGUUUGAUGUUCUAACGUGGACCCGUAAUCCGGGUUGCGGACAGUGUCUGGUGGGUAGUUUGACUGGGGCGGUCUCCUCCUAAAGAGUAACGGAGGAGCACGAA
rnacentral:rRNA from 1 species